rnacentral:sRNA from 1 species
UUGACAGCUCUGGAAACUGAAGUCCUCUAUUUAUCCACAGAGCAAACACUGCAGCACGGGCAGCGGCAGUGCCAGCUUCGCCCCCACUGCCCCUCCGCCAGCGGGCGGCCACCCCGACUUGGAGGAGCCGCCUCUGAAGGUGAGAGGGGUAGUUCAGUCUCCACCCCCCGCAGCCCUCGGCGUCC